UAGGGAAUCUUCCACAAUGGACGCAAGUCUGAUGGAGCAACGCCGCGUGAGUGAAGAAGGUUUUCGGAUCGUAAAGCUCUGUUGUUGGUGAAGAAGGAUAGAGGCAGUAACUGGUCUUUAUUUGACGGUAAUCAACCAGAAAGUCACGGCUAACUACGUGCCAGCAGCCGCGGUAAUACGUAGGUGGCAAGCGUUGUCCGGAUUUAUUGGGCGUAAAGCGAGCGCAGGCGGAAUGAUAAGUCUGAUGUGAAAGCCCACGGCUCAACCGGGGGAUUGCGUCGGAAACUAUCAUUCUUGAGUGCAGAAGAGGAGAGUGGAAUUCCAUGUGUAGCGGUGGAAUGCGUAGAUAUAUGGAAGAACACCAGUGGCGAAGGCGGCUCUCUGGUCUGCAACUGACGCUGAGGCUCGAAAGCAUGGGUAGCGAACAGG
rnacentral:rRNA from 1 species